rnacentral:lncRNA from 1 species
GUCUUCAUAAAAUAUUUAGAAAAUCAAAGAUAUCCCUUAUAUUAAAUUUUAAAAAUCCAUGUGGGCCAUAGAGUUUGCCUUUACAAGCCUUGCAAAGUGUGAAAGAUGGCUCAUCCUAUAUGGCAUUCAAUUUGGUUUUGAAAGGGGUUUGCAAGACGGAUGUGGAUGCUCUUACAUCCUUAUUGCAAAUGAACUUGCAAACCUCUGUGAACAUGACAUGGCAAAUCCAACUCAGCAAGUUCCUGCAAAUAUAGAACGACUUUCAAAUGCAAAAAUGGGUCCCUCCACUCAUCAACUUGCUACUUGCUAUAUAUAAUUAUAUUACAAUGCUUUUCAAUUAUUUAAUUAAAUCACUUGUUUAAUUGAUUAAAGUACCAUCGUGAUUUUUAUUUACUAAUUUACUAGUUAAUAUAUUAGACAUCUUUAAAACAUUAUUUCGUUUCGUAAUUACUUAAGUAAUUGAUCGAUUAAAAUACUAUUAUUAGAUUAUCUAUUUCAUAAUUAUUUUAUUAACUAGAUAAAAGAUUUAAAUUUAAUAGGAUGAUUGGUUACCAUAUUAUACUAUAAUUCUAUAAUUUAUCUAUUUAUUUGUAUUUUAAAAAUUAAAAAUAUUAAAACUAAUUUCUAUAUUAUAAUCUACAAACAAAUAAAAGACAAUAAACAAGAUAUACUUUGACGUAUUUUAUAUCGUCUAAAGCUAUUUAAAUUUAUGAUUGGGUAAACUAUUUAAAUAUUUAAUAAUUAAGUUUAUGUUUAAUUAAUUCACUAAUCAAAACUAAGAAGUUUUGUGUAUAGGGUACCUAUGUUUAUAUACUCUUAAGGGUAUUGUUAGGCGUGUCAAACCCAACAAAUAAAGGGGUACGAUAUACUCCAAAAGAAUCCCACUAUAUUGCACUAAAAGGUAGUACAAGGCAAGCAGGGUCGAUCCACAGAAACACGGGAUAAUUAGUCUAUAUCUCUUUGCACAAGGUACUAUGGUCACCAACAGUAAAAAAGGGGGGGGGGUUAGAGUGCAAUGACUAAACAAACAAAUUAAAAACACACGCAAUCAGCUAAAUGAGUGAAUUAGAUUCAGAUUUUGUAAGAACUCCAACUUCAUGUAUGACAACUUAGCAAUGUGACUCAAAGAUGACACAAUAUUCGUUCAAUUCUAUCUAAGUUGGUACUAGAAAGUGCUAAUAAGCUCUAACACUUCCCAUUCACCACAUUAAUUAACCAAAACAAGCUCUUUGAUUAACCCAAACCUUAUUAACCUAAUCUAAACAAGCUCUUAGAAUUAGAUUAUAAGAUUGCAUGAAGCUUUAUGUGAAUGUUCCCAACAACACCCAAUACUCCUCAUAAGCUCGGGAGUGUAAAAGUGUAUGAAUAAGAUUUACACUAAAUUCAUUCAAUAGAGAUCAAUUUAAUGCUUAUUACUUGUUCAAUUUCACAAAACAAAUACGGAUUUUGUAAAAGAGAUAACUUGAAUGACCUAACCCUAAUUCAAAUGGCCAAUAAGAAUCACAAUUAGAAUCAAACAUUCGAUUGAAGCAAAAUCAAAUUCAUUAGAUAGGAAUUAAGAACAAACAUCAUGUCAUAUGAUUGAAGUCAUUACCAAGAAGUCAAAACAUGAAAUUGGAGAAACUAGGGUUCUAGCCACAUAUGGCUAGAACAAGAUCACAAGAAUAAACGAUGGAAAUAAUGUGCAAUUACAACUUACAAAUAAGAGAAAUAAUGUUUCCAAAUGAUAAAUGAUCAAAUCCUUGCAAAAACCUUCGAAAUCCCCUCUCAAAAUGUGCUCUGAUAUGUUGUGUGUGUGUAAAAAUGACCCUUAACCCGUAAUAUGAAAGAUAGGAAAAACUGCCAAAAGUUGGUUUCUGGGUCGAACACGGCCCGUGUUGGACAUAGAGUAAAUUUGACACGGCCCGUGUUCAGCAUGGUCAACAGCUCACAUUUUGGUCAAUACAGCCCGUGUUGGACAUAGAGUAAAUCUGACACGGCCCGUGUUCCCCUCUGACUCUGAAUCCAAACUUGAUUUUUCCAACUUUUUCACUCUUCGCCCGAUCAUCCCGAAAUCUUCACCAAUGCUUCCCGACACUUCCUAAAGCGUGCUCCAACCUCCGAUUUACCUGAAAAAGACAUGUAAAUGUGCAAAUAAGAUUGUUCUAGAGACUAACAUGAAAUAUGAUGAAAUGCAAGACAAAUGAAGGACAAUUAUGCUAAAUAAAUGCAUGAAAUCGGACUAAAAGGUGUGCAAAAAGAUGCACAAAUUGCACCUAACAGGUAUAUUCACUUUUCCAAUAUAUAUAUAUAUAUAUAUAUAUUGGUUUUUGAAGUAAAAAAUAAUAAAUAAUAAAAAAAGCCAUAUAUUUAACAGAGUACUAAUUUUUUUUAUAAGAUGAAUUUACCAAAUAAAAAUAAAAUAACUAACGUAACAAAAGUUCCAAUAGAAAAAUAUUAUAUUUACAUAAAAAUAUCACUCGUAUUCUUUUUUUGUAUAUAUAAUUUUAAUAUGAUCUUUUUUAUAUUUAAUUGGACAGUAUAUAUACAAUAUUUCUCGUGUGAUCAAGCUUUAAUUGGUUUGCUUUUCAAUUUAACAUCAAAAUAGUCUUCAUAAAAUAUUUAGAAAAUCAAAGAUAUCCCUUAUAUUAAAUUUUAAAAAUCCAUGUGGGCCAUAGAGUUUGCCUUUACAAGCCUUGCAAAGUGUGAAAGAUGGCUCAUCCUAUAUGGCAUUCAAUUUGGUUUUGAAAGGGGUUUGCAAGACAGAUGUGGAUGCUCUUACAUCCUUAUUGCAAAUGAACUUGCAAACCUCUGUGAACAUGACAUGGCAAAUCCAACUCAGCAAGUUCCUGCAAAUAUAGAACGACUUUCAAAUGCAAAAAUGGGUCCCUCCACUCAUCAACUUGCUACUUGCUAUAUAUAAUUAUAUUACAAUGCUUUUCAAUUAUUUAAUUAAAUCACUUGUUUAAUUGAUUAAAGUACCAUCGUGAUUUUUAUUUACUAAUUUACUAGUUAAUAUAUUAGACAUCUUUAAAACAUUAUUUCGUUUCGUAAUUACUUAAGUAAUUGAUCGAUUAAAAUACUAUUAUUAGAUUAUCUAUUUCAUAAUUAUUUUAUUAACUAGAUAAAAGAUUUAAAUUUAAUAGGAUGAUUGGUUACCAUAUUAUACUAUAAUUCUAUAAUUUAUCUAUUUAUUUGUAUUUUAAAAAUUAAAAAUAUUAAAACUAAUUUCUAUAUUAUAAUCUACAAACAAAUAAAAGACAAUAAACAAGAUAUACUUUGACGUAUUUUAUAUCGUCUAAAGGUAUUUAAAUUUAUGAUUGGGUAAACUAUUUAAAUAUUUAAUAAUUAAGUUUAUGUUUAAUUAAUUCACUAAUCAAAACUAAGAAGUUUUGUGUAUAGGGUACCUAUGUUUAUAUACUCUUAAGGGUAUUGUUAGGCGUGUCAAACCCAACAAAUAAAGGGGUACGAUAUACUCCAAAAUAAUCCCACUAUAUUGCACUAAAAGGUAGUACAAGGCAAGCAGGGUCGAUCCACAGAGACACGGG